CACGUAGGGUGCGAGCGUUGUCCGGAAUUAUUGGGCGUAAAGAGCUCGUAGGCGGUGUGUCGCGUCGGCCGUGAAAACUUGCAGCUUAACUGUGGGCGUGCGGUCGAUACGGGCAUCACUGGAGUUCGGCAGGGGAGACUGGAAUUCCUGGUGUAGCGGUGAAAUGCGCAGAUAUCAGGAGGAACACCGGUGGCGAAGGCGGGUCUCUGGGCCGAUACUGACGCUGGAGAAGCGAAAGCAUGGGGAGCGAACAGG
rnacentral:rRNA from 1 species